CUCAACCGGGGAGGGUCAUUGGAAACUGGGAGACUUGAGUACAGAAGAGGAGAGUGGAAUUCCACGUGUAGCGGUGAAAUGCGUAGAUAUGUGGAGGAACACCAGUGGCGAAGGCGACUCUCUGGUCUGUAACUGACGCUGAGGCGCGAAAGCGUGGGGAGCAAACAGGAUUAGAUACCCUGGUAGUCCACGCCGUAAACGAUGAGUGCUAGGUGUUAGGGGUUUCGAUGCCCUUAGUGCCGAAGUUAACACAUUAAGCACUCCGCCUGGGGAGUACGACCGCAAGGUUGAAACUCAAAGGAAUUGACGGGGGCCCGCACAAGCAGUGGAGCAUGUGGUUUAAUUCGAAGCAACGCGAAGAACCUUACCAGGUCUUGACAUCCUUUGACCACCCUAGAGAUAGGGCUUUCCCCUUCGGGGGACAA
rnacentral:rRNA from 1 species